AGUGAACGCUGGCGGUAGGCCUAACACAUGCAAGUCGAACGGCAGCACAGUAAGAGCUUGCUCUUACGGGUGGCGAGUGGCGGACGGGUGAGGAAUACAUCGGAAUCUACUUUUUCGUGGGGGAUAACGUAGGGAAACUUACGCUAAUACCGCAUACGACCUACGGGUGAAAGCAGGGGAUCUUCGGACCUUGCGCGAUUGAAUGAGCCGAUGUCGGAUUAGCUAGUCGGCGGGGUAAAGGCCCACCAAGGCGACGAUCCGUAGCUGGUCUGAGAGGAUGAUCAGCCACACUGGAACUGAGACACGGUCCAGACUCCUACGGGAGGCAGCAGUGGGGAAUAUUGGACAAUGGGCGCAAGCCUGAUCCAGCCAUACCGCGUGGGUGAAGAAGGCCUUCGGGUUGUAAAGCCCUUUUGUUGGGAAAGAAAAGCAGCAGGUUAAUACCCCGCUGUUCUGACGGUACCCAAAGAAUAAGCACCGGCUAACUUCGU
rnacentral:rRNA from 1 species